UACGUAGGGUGCAAGCGUUGUCCGGAAUUAUUGGGCGUAAAGAGCUCGUAGGCGGUUUGUCGCGUCUGCUGUGAAAAAUCCAGGGCUUAACCCUGGACCUGCAGUGGGGUACGGGCAGACUGGAGUGCGGGUAGGGGGAGAUCGGAAUUCCUGGUGUAGCGGUGAAAUGCGCAGAUAUCAGGAGGAACACCGGUGGCGAAGGCGGAUCUCUGGGGCCGUAACUGACGCUGAGGAGCGAAAAGCAUGGGGGAGCGAACAGG
rnacentral:rRNA from 1 species